rnacentral:rRNA from 1 species
CACCGCGGUUAUACGAGAGGCCCAAGCUGACAGCCAUCGGCGUAAAGCGUGGUUAAAUAAACAAAUAAAUAAAGUCGAAUGCUUCCUCAACUGUCAUACGUUCUCGGAAGCCAGAAGCCCUUCUACGAAAGUAACUUUAACUAAUUGAACCCACGAAAGCUAAGACA